GACGAACGCUGGCGGCGUGCUUAACACAUGCAAGUCGAACGGUAAGGCCCUUCGGGGUACACGAGUGGCGAACGGGUGAGUAACACGUGGGUGAUCUGCCCUGCACUUCGGGAUAAGCCUGGGAAACUGGGUCUAAUACCGGAUAGGACCCUGGGAUGCAUGUCCUGGGGUGGAAAGCUUUUGCGGGGUGGGAUGGGCCUGCGGCCUAUCAGCUUGUUGGUGGGGUGAUGGCCAACCAAGGCGAGGACGGGGAGCCGGCCUGAGAGGGUGACCGGCAACACUGGGAGUGGGAUACGGCACAGACUCCUACGGGAGGCAGCAGUGGGGAAUAUUGCACAAUGGGCGCAAGCCUGAUUCAGCGACGCCGCGUGAGGGAUGACGGCCUUCGGGUUGUAAACCUCUUUCAGAACCGACGAAGCGCAAGUGACGGUAGGUGCAGAAGAAGGACCGGCCAACUACGUGCCAGCCGCCGCGGUAA
rnacentral:rRNA from 1 species